GGCUUCGUUCAGAUUCGUAGGCUGAUUUUUCUUAGAGAAAAAAAAUCAAUACUAAAGAGGAUUAUUUCAGACUGAUCCUGAGUGGAUACCCAUAGAGGCCAGACACUUGCUUAGCUAAAGAAGAACCUAUUCUCUUUCAGAUCCAGAUUUAAAGAAAGAAUUUACAAAACAGGUAUGUGAUUCGAUCAUAUAUUCAAUUUCAGCAUAUGUUCAAUUUCAACAUAUGAAGUAGAUCCUAAUGCUUUAUAUUUUAUGUAUGUAUGAUGUAGACUAAAAGAGAUUUUAAUCUUCUAUUCUACUAUAUUAUUUAGAAAAAAAAAAUUGAAACAUAUAUAC
rnacentral:lncRNA from 1 species